AUACUUACCUUGUAGCGAUUUUUUGGGAUCAAGAAGCCAGAAAAUCAGAUUUGUGAGUUCGCAUUGCACAUCGCGAUACUUUCGCUGUCUCCAAGUAUCUUCGGGUAUUUGGGCUGCGCUAUUUUUGCUGUCUUACAAAAUUCUUAUUUUUUUGACUUUGUG
rnacentral:snRNA from 20 species